rnacentral:rRNA from 1 species
CAGUAGCCGCGGGAAUACGGAGGGUGCAAGCGUUAUCCGGAUUUAUUGGGUUUAAAGGGUCCGUAGGCGGACUUAUAAGUCAGUGGUGAAAGCCUGUCGCUUAACGAUAGAACUGCCAUUGAUACUGUAAGUCUUGAGUAUAUUUGAGGUAGCUGGAAUAAGUAGUGUAGCGGUGAAAUGCAUAGAUAUUACUUAGAACACCAAUUGCGAAGGCAGGUUACCAAGAUAUAACUGACGCUGAGGGACGAAAGCGUGGGUAGCGAACAGGAUUAGAUACCCCUGUAGUCCCUGUCUCUUAUAA